rnacentral:misc_RNA from 1 species
CAAUUCCCCAAACAGAGUUCUAAUACUCAUCAUAUGUUCAUCUUGGACAUGUGAAAAACGAGUAGUUGCCCUUUCCAGUUGUCAUACUUGUAUAAAGAUUAUAGUUACAUGAUUCUCUAAUGAUAAGUUUACACAAGGCAAAAGUCAUGUCCUUCAAUGAUCAGCAUAAGAGUUACUUUGACAUGAUGUAGCAUAGGACUUCUAUAAGCAACAAAAAACCACUUUCUGAUGCAACGUUUGACUUCAUAUAUGCAUGCACCAUUCAUAUUAAUUAGCCUAUCAGAUCAGAAUCUUUCAACAGCAACUCUCUGAAAUCAUGAUAUAUCAGUAUUGACAAACAGCUGAUUACAUUUGGAUCAAGUCUCAUAUUAUUCAUAUUGCUUGUCUUUCAGUGAUCAGGAUCGUCUAGAAUCUCCACCACUGGAGCAAACUCAUCGUCUUCUUUAAGAUGCAUGCCAUCAACAGAACUAUCCAGCUUGAAGUCCCAUCCAAGAGUCUGCUCAAGCAGUUCUCUCAGUUUUCUAGUCCAAGUCAGGAGGUCUCCAUCAACCAUGGGGGCAUCAAGCACCAAUGAGAAGAAAUCCUUACAAAGGUGGCGCAGGAAGUUAUCAGCAGAGAAAGGUGCAACGGCCUCGUUGGACGAAUCUUUGUUGUCUGCUGAUAACU